GGCGGUGUAGCUCAGUUGGUUAGAGCGUGGGACUCAUAAGCCCGAGGUCAGUGGUUCGAUUCCACUCACCGCCA
rnacentral:tRNA from 1 species